UACGUAGGGUGCAAGCGUUAAUCGGAAUUACUGGGCGUAAAGCGUGCGCAGGCGGUUUUGUAAGUCUGUCGUGAAAUCCCCGGGCUCAACCUGGGAAUUGCGAUGGAGACUGCAAGGCUAGAAUCUGGCAGGAGGGGGGUAGAAUUCCACGUGUAGCAGUGAAAUGCGUAGAGAUGUGGAGGAACACCGAUGGCGCAAGGCAGCCCCCUGGGUCAAGAUUGACGCUCAUGCACGAAAGGCGUGGGGAGCAAAACGAGGAUUAGACGUAC
rnacentral:rRNA from 1 species